GCUUGCUUCCCUUUUCCCACCACAAAGCUCUAUGUAAGGUCUCUAACCCCGUGCGUGGGGCUCAGAGUUCGGAGUGCUGAACUCCACUGGGCCCGCUGGCGUAAUAAGGUUUGGCUCCCUCCCCUUGUCCAAGUGCUGCUUAGUUUCCUCACCUCCAGUGAACGAAAAUUGCUGUAAGAUCGUUUCCCUAGCUGGGAGGAUUGACUGCACUGGCCCGUUGAGCCACCAGCUCGGACUUGGGGGAGCAUCUGCCAGCUAUCUCCCUGGGUAACUAUACAGCAUGGCCUCUGGCCUAAUUGGUGAGACCCCCAUCCAUGGGAGAACAGGACAAGUUUGUGCUCCAGUGUCCUCCUGACCAAACUUGGCAGAGAAGUGAACUGGUUUUCAGCAGGACUUCUGGACAAGGACACUUCUGAUGAAGAAUUCCACCACUGUUAUCCUUCACCCCCGACUCAUUUUCUUAAACUACUGUUGGCACCACUGCCGCCAGCGCUUCCAGACAGCUCACCUUCAGAUCCUCCACCCUGGGUGGCCUCGCCAGAGCCAGAGGCAAAUGAGGCCGAACCUGCCAGUCCCUCUCAGAAGCCCCUUGCCCAGCAACUCUGAUCAGCACAACUACCUACUCUCCAGAUGCUGCUCUGAGAGCACCUGUGGCUCCCAACUGCUCCUGACCUAUACGUUUCUCUCUGGCACUUGCUUCUCCCCGUGCUCAGCUCCAGGGAGGCAGAGACACUCAAUGAGGCUGAUGCUGAGGGCAAUAAUGACAGGUGUUCUAUCUCCAGAUUUAAUUUUGGACAAAAGAGAUUUCUCCACCAUCCAUCUUUGAAACAGACCGAUAUAUGUACAUAUUUAAAAACAUACUCACUUUAUCAUGUCAUUUUUUAGAUAAAAG
rnacentral:lncRNA from 1 species